rnacentral:lncRNA from 1 species
GUUUUGGGUACUUCAGUCAACAAGCUGCCAUCUUCAACAUGGGGCAUACAGAGCAGUUUUCAAGCCUCUAUAGAAGUCAUCUUACAGCGAGUCUGAGCCAGUGAAAUGCAGUUAUAGUGAUAUGUGUACUCCCAAGGUAGCUGUCAAUGCUCCUACUCGGAAAUACUCAUAUGUUGCUUCUGACUUGAAGCAGAGGAACUCACAACCUAAGAAGCCACAGGCUUGAAGAUGGCAGAGCACAAGAUGGCAGAAGUUUGGAAUGAAUUACUACUUGAAAGAGAAGCUCUUAUUUACCAAGAAAUAUAUUUUGGAAUUUGCAUGAGUAAGAAAUAAAUCCAAUUAUGCUAACAUUAUCAUUGAAAUUAGAGACGUUUCUGUUAGAGUAGCUGUUGUUACCAUAGCUAAUAUAGAUGAAGAUUAUAUUGAUUUACCAGCAGCCAGAUUGAAUAGGAAAUUUAGGCCAGUGUAAAUCUUCACCUUUCCACCCUUUUUCAGGUAUCCCUGAUCUCCCUAUUUUGCUCUAAACAACCUUUAAUCAACAGUACCUUCGAGGUUCUGACAUUUAUAUUUUUUAGUGUUUGUUUUUCUUAUCUGCUUCCCCUGACCAAUGUAUAUUCCACAAAUAUAGAAAUCUUUGUCUGUUUUGUUCACCGAUUUAUCUCAAUCACCUAAAUCAGUUCUUUGUAUAGAAAACUUGCUCAAUAACACUGAUAAAAAAUUGGCUGACUCUAACUUAUUCCAAAGAAAAAUGAUGCUAUUAACUUUACUAAAAUUAAAUAUCUCUUUACCAAACCAAA